rnacentral:rRNA from 1 species
UACAGAGGGUGCGAGCGUUAAUCGGAAUUACUGGGCGUAAAGCGCGCGUAGGCGGCUCUGCAAGCCGGAUGUGAAAUCCCCGGGCUCAACCUGGGAACUGCGUCUGAUACUGGAUGGCUAGAGGUUGGGAGAGGGAUGCGGAAUUCCAGGUGUAGCGGUGAAAUGUGUAGAUAUCUGGAGGAACACCGGUGGCGAAGGCGGCAUCCUGGACCAAUUCUGACGCUGAGGAGCGAAAGCCAGGAGAGCAAACGGG